rnacentral:rRNA from 1 species
CCUACGGGGGGCUGCAGUAGGGAAUAUUCCGCAAUGGGCGAAAGCCUGACGGAGCAACGCCGCGUGAGUGAAGAAGGUUUUCGGAUCGUAAAGCUCUGUCAACAGGGACGAAACAAGACGGUACCUGAGAAGGAAGCCACGGCAAACUACGUGCCAGCAGCCGCGGUAAUACGUAGGUGGCAAGCGUUGUCCGGAAUAACUGGGCGUAAAGCGCAUGUAGACGGCAUGAUAAGCCAAAUGUGAAAUGUAGGGGCUCAACCCCUGCACUGCGAUUGGAACUGUCAAGCUUGAGUGCAGGAGAGGCAAAUGGAAUUCCCAGUGUAGCAGUGAAAUGCGUAGAGAUUGGGAGGAACACCAGUGGCGAAGGCGAUUUGCUGGACUGCAACUGACGUUGAGAUGCGAAAGCCAGGGGAGCAAACGGGAUUAGAUACCCCAGUAGUC